CACGUAGGGCGCGAGCGUUUGUCCGGAAUUAUUGGGCGUAAAGAGCUCGUAGGCGGCCUGUUGCGUCCGCUGUGAAAGCCCGGGGCUUAACCCCGGGUCGGCAGUGGAUACGGGCAGGCUAGAGGUAGGUAGGGGAGAAUGGAAUUCCCGGUGUAGCGGUGAAAUGCGCAGAGUAUCGGGAAGAACACCCGUGGCGAAGGCGGCUCUCUGGGACGGUACUGACGCUGAGGAGCGAAAGCGUGGGGAGCAG
rnacentral:rRNA from 1 species